UUGGGAAGAAAAUUAUUUCAUUCGAAAAUACGAAAGGAAUUCGAGAAGGAAUUAAAAUUGGAUGAUUCUUUAUUUUUUUUUUUGGCAAACCAUUUUUUCGAAGAUAAGCUAUUUCAACAGCGGUGGGUCUGCGAUUCUCUCUUUCUGAGUGACAAAGAUUCAUCCCCCAAUUAAAACCAGCACAUAUGUGAUUCUCUCUUCUCGAGGGACCGACGACGGCGGGUGCUCAAACACAGUCUGGAUUCUGGUGGAGCCGAAGGCGCAACUGCAAUUGGUUCAUUGAAUUUAUUGUAGGCACCAUGAAGAAUAUCUCGCAACCGCAGUCUUAGGAGGAAAGUAUUGUGGCUGUAAAGAUCACUGCGAUAAAGCAGGCAAUCUUGCUGGCAACCGCUUCUCAUUCUGAGCUGAAUGCAGACACCCAUCGGCAUUAUUUUUUCAUGAAGAUGGAGGACGAGAGUAGCCAAGACAGCACCAGUCCUGUCUUGUUUGUGCACACAAAGCCUAAAGAUAGCACGCAGUCUUGAGAUUGAUUUAUUCUAUUUUCAGCAAGUCUACUCCAAAAAAUGAUGAUCACAGACAGCCCUUACUGAAACCAUUUGCAAGGAAAUGGGGAGUGUUCGGAGAUUAUAAAUAAACCCACCUCAUUGCUUCAAAGAUUCAAUUUCAGAAUAAGAAAAUGUUAUUUUGUCAUUUUCCCAACACCUCCUUUCUUCAUAAUCGUUUAUAGAAGAAGCUUCAUUGGCGUACUCAAUGCAGUCCUUUGGAUUCGUGAUUUCUUUUGACUGAAUAUCAAGUAGGCCUUAGUACAUUGUGUGUUCCUUAAAAUGAUGGGGCUUCUGGUCACUAUGCACUGCGCUCAUAACUUCGAUUAGGAUUGCUUCAAAGGUGCCUUUUCUGGUCAAUAUUUCAUACAGGGAGGACAUACGGUGGAACAAGGAAGCUUCGAGCACCGAAAACCAUUAUGAAAUUGCAUCCAGACCCUAGAUAUAUGUAUUUAGUUGCACACGAUUACAACUCGAAACUAUAUGCAUUGUAUUCAACAAUAUAUAUAAGUCGAUCAGGACAUUAUAUAAUUAGUUGUGAAACUUUCUAUUGUCCACGAAA